rnacentral:tRNA from 1 species
GGCCCGAUGGUGAAAUUGGUAGACACAAGGGACUUAAAAUCCCUCGGCGAUUUAGCUGUGCCGGUUCAAGUCCGGCUCGGGCCA